rnacentral:rRNA from 1 species
AUAGGAAGUUAUACACUUAUUUUACAUUAUUAUUAAGUUCUCUCAACCACCCCCUCUCCCCCCUAUAAAAUCCUUCAAAUUAAAAGUAUAUAAAAGAAAUUUAACUAAUAUCUUAUUUUCUGCAAAGAAACGCCCAUAAAUAACUAAAAGAAAAACGAAAUUUGUACCUUUUGCAUCAUGAUUUAACAAGAAAAAAUUAAAUAUAUAAUUUCUAGAAAUAAGCCUGUGAGCUACUUUAUAAAAUAGCCUUCGUCGUAAAGAAGGCUUUAAUUAUAACGUAGAUGUGAAAUGCUUCCCGCACCUUAUGUUAGCUAGUUAAUUAAUAAAAGUACUAAAAUACCCAUUUUAUGCCCGUCCCUCCCACAUAAAGUCCCCUCCGUAAGGGGUAAGCUCUUGCGGCCCAUAAAAGAUUAUUCAUAUAAAUUAAAAGGAAAGUAGGAUUAAAAUUAUCUACCUAAAGAAUUUGUUUUAAAUUUCACCUUUACUCCAACUUAAAUUUAUUAAAUUUUCUCUAAUAUUAUAUUAAUUUUCAAUUAAAAACCCCCCUUACUUCCCAUCAAUGUUAAAAUGAGUAUUGAUUUUAUAACAAAUAUCAAAAUUUAUUAAUAAGGUAUUAACAACAUCAACAACAUUAAAUAAAAUAUAAAAAAGGAACUCGGCAACUCUAAGUUUCGCAUGUUUACCAAAAACAUCUCUCUAUGUCUCCCUAUAGAGUAAGGCCUGCCCAAUGUAAUUUAUUAAUGGCCGCGGUACUUUGACCGUGCGAAGGUAGCAUAAUCAUUUGUUUUUUAAUUAAAAACUAGUAUGAAAGGCUAAACGAAACUUAACUGUCUCUUUUAUAAAAAAAAAAAUUAAUCUUAAUGUGAAGAAGCAUUAAUACAUCUAAAAGACGAAAAGACCCUGUUGAGUUUUAGUACAAGGAUUAAUUAACCCCUUCUGUUACUUUUGUUGGGGCGACACAGGAGUAAUAAACCCUCCUCCCUAUUUAAUCAAAUAAAUCUACGACCCAAAAUAUCUGAAUAAGUAUUUUUGACCACUAGAUAAAUUACCACAGGGAUAACAGCGUUAUUUUUUUUGAAAGCUCUAAUUAACAAAAAAGUUUGCGACCUCGAUGUUGGACUAAGGCCUCCUUAAGGCGCAGCCGCCUUAAUAGAUAGUCUGUUCGACUAUUUAAUCCUUACAUGAUCUGAGUUAAAACCGGCGUAAGCCAGGUUGGUUUCUAUCUUUUCAUAAAAGCCCUAUCCCUAGUACGAAAGGACCGGGGUAGCUAAAUAAUUUAUUUUCUAUUAAUAAAAUUUACAAUAAGCCAAGCUUAGUUGGCAGAAUAAUGCACCUGACUUAGAAUCAGCCUAUGGUAAAUUACUAAC